rnacentral:rRNA from 1 species
GGACGAACGCUGGCGGCGUGCCUAAUACAUGCAAGUCGAGCGAUCUGGAGGUUGGAGAUUAGAGGUUAGAAGUUAGACGAAACCAAUCGGCGAAGCCGAUUGGAUGAAUCUGAUUUCCAACUUCCAAUCUCCAACUUCCAGGGAGCGGCGGACGGGUGAGUAACACGUGGGCAACCUGCCCGCAAGACCGGGAUAACUCCGGGAAACCGGGGCUAAUACCGGAUGAUGCCUCUUCCUGCAUGGGAGGAUGCUGAAAGGCGGCCUUUGGCUGUCACUUGCGGAUGGGCCCGCGGCGCAUUAGCUGGUUGGUGAGGUAACGGCUCACCAAGGCGACGAUGCGUAGCCGACCUGAGAGGGUGAYCGGCCACACUGGGACUGAGACACGGCCCAGACUCCUACGGGAGGCAGCAGUAGGGAAUUUUCCGCAAUGGGCGCAAGCCUGACGGAGCAACGCCGCGUGAGUGAGGACGGCUUUCGGGUUGUAAAACUCUGUUCUUCGGGAAGAACGGUCGAAGGGUGAACAAUCCUUUGGCRUGACGGUACCGGAGGAGAAAGCCCCGGCUAAC